AACGAACGCUGGCGGCAGGCUUAACACAUGCAAGUCGAACGCAUCGCAAGAUGAGUGGCAGACGGGUGAGUAACGCGUGGGAAUCUACCCAGUUCUACGGAACAACAGUUGGAAACGACUGCUAAUACCGUAUACGCCCUACGGGGGAAAGAUUUAUCGGAAUUGGAUGAGCCCGCGUAAGAUUAGCUAGUUGGUGGGGUAAUGGCCUACCAAGGCGACGAUCUUUAGCUGGUCUGAGAGGAUGAUCAGCCACACUGGGACUGAGACACGGCCCAGACUCCUACGGGAGGCAGCAGUGGGGAAUAUUGGACAAUGGGCGCAAGCUUGAUCCAGCCAUGCCGCGUGAGUGAUGAAGGCCUUAGGGUCGUAAAGCUCUUUCACCGAUGAAGAUAAUGACGGUAGUCGGAGAAGAAGCCCCGGCUAACUUCGUGCCAGCAGCCGCCGUAAAAC
rnacentral:rRNA from 1 species